rnacentral:lncRNA from 1 species
AUUGGGACAGCCAUAGGUAUAAUUGAGCCUCCUACGUCCUCGGGAGUACUCCUCGAGGAUGAUGAGGACGAAGUGUCGCUACUGCUACUACUAGACAUCCUGACCUAGGUAAAAAAUACCUAAAGAAUAACUUAAAAACUCGAGGUCUUACCUUAAAGUCGACGUCUAAAAACUCAAAGUCCGAUCCCGACGAUUAGCGAGAGAAGUUUACUGAGAGUAAAAAGUGAAAAAUGAAAAUGAGGGGAGGGUAUUUAUAGGUAACAGGAGCAAGAAGCCCAAAAGUCACAACCCCGACCGUUAGAUCUGGACACGUGUCCCACAUCUAACCUUACCAGUUUUUACCGCCUUUUCCUAUCCUAGGGCUGACGUCAGUACGCGUCAGCCUUUUGAUCAAGCACAGGUGUUCAGAAAUCCCCGAGCUAAAACUCGAGCUUUUAUUUCUAGUCUCUUUGCAUCAUAUCCUCGAGCAUUUCUUCGAGCAUAUAUGCACGGGGGCCUAUGAUGGUGACAUUUUACGAUAUCCCCGAUCAGUAUAUCCCGAUGACUAAUUUUGGUAAAGUUGUAAAUCCAUCCAUGGUGUCCUCGAGCAUGUUCGUCCUCGAGACACAAGGCCCGACCACAUCUCCAUCACGCUUCGCAUGUUGCAAAGAUGUGUCCUCGGGCAUGGUCCUCGGGAAUAUGCUCCUCCUUACUGCUGACGAUUGUUCACCCUUUAGAAUUCCUACGCAAUUAGGAAUCUUAACUCCCACAAGAGUCCUAUCUCACGCAUAAUUCUGGAAUUCAACCAACUCCUUAACCAGCAGGACUCCAACAGAUGAGGACAUCCAGCUAGUUGAGCCCAAUUAGGAGAAUGUCACUUACUACUAUAAAUACAGAACUUUGAACCAUUAUUCAGGUACGUUUUACAUUGUUCUUCAGCACAUAGCCUCACGCAUAUAUUUCCCUUUCUGACUUAAGCAUCGGAGGGGCGACGAGAACACACCUCGUUGCCUUUGUUUCAGGUAUCGGAAGAUCACGUUCGUGCUCCUCACCAAUCAUCAAGCUCGGAAAAUCAGCAGGUACGAUUUUUGGUAGCAUC